rnacentral:tRNA from 1 species
AAUAUUGUAGGUUAAAAUAAACCCAAGGUCUUCAAAACCUUUAAUAACACCUUUUUGGUUCAGUAUUA